CAGGACUCCAGGCAUGAUGCCACCUUAUGGAAUGCCACCACCACCAGGUGCCCCACCACCCGGAUUCAUGCCUUCGAUGGGUGGGAUGCCAGGAUUUGGUGGACCACCCAAUCUUCCUCCCCCAGUCUUUCCUCCUGUCAUACCACCGCAAUGGCA